rnacentral:rRNA from 1 species
UACGUAGGGCGCAAGCGUUGUCCGGAAUUAUUGGGCGUAAAGAGCUCGUAGGCGGCUUGUCACGUCGGGUGUGAAAGCCCGGGGCUUAACCCCGGGUCUGCAUUCGAUACGGGCAGGCUAGAGUGUGGUAGGGGAGAUCGGAAUUCCUGGUGUAGCGGUGAAAUGCGCAGAUAUCAGGAGGAACACCGGUGGUGCAAACGGCUUUCUGGACCGUAACUGACGCUGAGACACGAAAGCGUGGGGAGCAAACAGG